GAUGAACGCUAGCGGCAGGCUUAAUACAUGCAAGUCGAGGGGCAGCACAGUGUAGCAAUACAUGGGUGGCGACCGGCAAACGGGUGCGGAACACGUACAGAACCUUCCUUCGAGCGGGGAAUAGCCCAGAGAAAUUUGGAUUAAUACCCCAUAGGAUAGUGGAGUGGCAUCACUCAGCUAUUAAAGAUUUAUCACUUGAAGAUGGCUGUGCGUCUGAUUAGGUAGUUGGCGGGGUAACGGCCCACCAAGCCAGCGAUCAGUAACUGGUGUGAGAGCACGACCAGUCACACGGGCACUGAGACACGGGCCCGACUCCUACGGGAGGCAGCAGUAAGGAAUAUGGGCAAUGGAGGCAACUCUGACCCAGCCAUCCCGCGUGCAGGAUGAAGGCCCUCUGGGUCGUAAACUGCUUUGUCUGGGAAGAAAAAGCUAUAUUAUAUAGAACUGACGGUACCAGACGAAUAAGCACCGGCUAACUACCGUGCCAGCAG
rnacentral:rRNA from 1 species